CUGUCAGUCAGUUAGUUCUUCACAGGGGUGACAGCACCGCCUCUCCCUCCUUCAGCUUUACACCCGCCCCCGACACCUCCCGCCUUCCCAGGAUGCCCCACGGCAGGUGGUGGUUUCGGCACAUUCCCCACAUCCGGGUCCCUGAAGACACCGGAAGUAGAGCGGGAAGGAGCUGGACGUCACUGUGGUCCAGCAGUGACACCCGUCACGACCCAGAGCCGCACAGAAGGCCGAGACCAGCCCAGCAGUGAAGGAGCAGCGAUGGGAUGGCUGACCGGCUGGCGGCCAGGGGUGCUGGUGUCUGUACAGUUGCGGAAAUCAGCAGGCAACCCUCCGAAAUGUCUUCUUGUGGACAACACAGGAGGAGGGGGCAAGCCCCGGACAGCAGUUAGGGAAGGAUUGCUUCUGAGAGGAUCCAACCACAGCGUCUUAGGAACAGCAGAUUCUUUAUCAGCUGAGCUGCCAGGGAAGCUGGUAAAUACCUGA
ensembl:lincRNA